rnacentral:rRNA from 1 species
GACGAACGCUGGCGGCAUGCCUAAUACAUGCAAGUCGAGCGAACAGAUGAAGUGCUUGCACUUCUGACGCUAGCGGCGAACGGGUGAGUAACACGUAAGGAAUCUACCUAUAAGCGGGGGAUAACAUUCGGAAACGGGUGCUAAUACCGCAUAAUAUCUUCUUCCGCAUGGAAGAAGAUUGAAAGACGGCUCUGCUGGUACUUAUAGAUGACCUUGCGGUGCAUUAGUUAGGUGGUGGGGUAAUGGCCUACCAAGACGAUGAGGCAUAGCCGACCUGAGAGGGUGAUCGGCCACAUUGGGACUGAGACACGGCCCAAACUCCUACGGGAGGCAGCAGUAGGGAAUCUUCCGCAAUGGGCGAAAGCCUGACGGGGCAAUGCCGCGUGAGUGAAGAAGGCCUUCGGGUCGUAAAACUCUGUUAUAAGAGAAGAACAAAUUGUAGAGUAACUGCUACAGUCUUGACGGUAUCUUAUCAGAAAGCCACGGCUAACUACGUGCCAGCCGCCGCGGUAA